AGACACCACCGCAGACGACAACAUUCAGAUUUCGGGGUACGCCACACUCAUUACACGAAUGCAGAUUAUAAUUUUAAUAUUUUAAACCUGUAUAUGUUAUUCUCUGAACGAUAAAAUACUUCACACGAAUAUUCGAUCGGUUGGAUGUUCUGAGGCUUUAAUUUUAAAACCUUAAAUAUGCCUUUACGUUUAGAUAUAAAGCGUAAGCUGACUGCUCGGUCGGAUCGUGUCAAGUGCGUGGACCUCCAUCCCAAAGAGCCAUGGAUGUUGGCAUCAUUAUACAAUGGCACUGUUCAUAUAUGGAACCAUGAAACAGCUACACUCAUUAAAUCAUACGAAGUAUGUGAACUACCUGUUAGAGCAGCUCGAUUUGUUGCUCGAAAAAAUUGGAUUGUCACUGGUUCAGAUGAUAUGCAAUUGCGUGUAAUCAACUAUAACACUUUGGAGCGUGUUCAUCAACUAGAUGCACAUUCUGAUUAUUUACGAAGUAUUGCUGUUCAUCCUUCCCAACCUUUUAUACUUACUAGUAGUGAUGACAUGUUGAUAAAACUCUGGAAUUGGGAAAAACAAUGGGCUUGUCAACAAGUUUUUGAAGGACAUACACAUUAUGUGAUGCAGAUUAUAAUUAACCCUAAAGAUAACAAUACUUUUGCCAGUGCUUCGUUAGAUCGAACUGUUAAAGUGUGGCAACUUGGUUCUUCAACUCCAAAUUUUACUUUAGAAGGACAUGAAAAGGGAGUGAAUUGUGUUGACUACUAUCAUGCUGGAGAUAAACCUUAUUUGAUAUCUGGUGCUGACGAUAGACUUGUUAAAAUUUGGGAUUACCAAAAUAAAACAUGUGUUCAGACAUUAGAAGGCCAUGCUCAAAAUAUUUCAGCUGUUUGUUUCCAUCCAGAACUUCCGAUUGUUCUAACUGGCUCAGAAGACGGUACAGUCAGAAUUUGGCAUUCCGGUACUUAUCGGUUAGAAUCAUCAUUAAAUUAUGGUUUAGAACGUGUAUGGACAAUCUGUUGCUUACGGGGAUCUAAUAAUGUAGCUUUAGGUUAUGAUGAAGGUAGUAUAAUGGUUAAAGUUGGUCGUGAAGAGCCAGCAAUGUCGAUGGAUGUUCAUGGUGGUAAAAUUGUUUGGGCUCGUCAUAGUGAAAUUCAACAAGCUAACCUUAAAGCAAUGCUUCAAGCAGAAGGAACCGAAACCAAAGAUGGUGAACGUUUACCCAUACAAGUUAAGGACAUGGGUAGCUGUGAAAUUUAUCCACAAUCAAUAUCUCAUAAUCCAAAUGGUAGAUUUUUAGUAGUAUGUGGUGAUGGAGAGUAUAUUAUAUAUACAUCAAUGGCUUUACGUAAUAAAGCAUUUGGCUCCGCUCAGGAUUUUGUAUGGUCUUCUGAUUCUGAGUAUGCAAUAAGAGAAAAUUCUUCUACAAUCAAAGUCUUUAAGAAUUUUAAAGAAAAAAAAUCUUUUAAACCAGAAGGUGGAGCCGAUGGUAUUUUUGGAGGUUAUUUGUUAGGUGUGAAAUCUGUUACUGGGUUGGCUUUAUAUGAUUGGGAAAAUGGUAACUUAGUACGAAGGAUUGAGACUCAACCUAAACAUGUAUUUUGGUCAGAGUCAGGAGAAUUAGUGUGUCUUGCUACUGAUGAAGCAUACUUUAUAUUACGUUUUGACGUCAAUGUACUUAGUGCUGCAAGAGCAUCCAAUUAUGAAGCUGCUAGUCCUGAUGGCCUUGAAGAUGCCUUUGAGAUUUUAGGAGAAGUUCAAGAAGUUGUGAAAACUGGUCUAUGGGUUGGUGAUUGCUUUAUAUACACCAAUGGCGUAAACCGUAUCAACUAUUAUGUUGGUGGAGAAAUUGUCACUGUGUCUCAUCUUGACCGCACAAUGUAUCUCUUAGGAUAUGUUGCUAAAGAAAAUCGACUCUACUUAGGUGAUAAGGAACUUAACAUUGUUUCUUAUAGCCUUCUUUUAUCUGUAUUGGAAUACCAAACUGCAGUCAUGAGGAAGGAUUUUGAAAUUGCUGAUCGCAUACUACCAUCAGUGCCAUCCCAAUAUAGAACCCGUGUUGCUCAUUUCUUAGAAAAGCAGGGUUAUAAGAAACAAGCAUUGUCAGUAUCAACAGAUGUUGAGCAUAAAUUUGAAUUGGCAAUCCAAUUACAAGACUUAGCUAAAGCACAUUCACUUGCAAAGGAAGCAUCUAGUCCUCAAAAAUGGAGACAACUUUCCGAAUUAGCUACCGCACAAGCUAAUCUUGAAUUAGCACAAGAAUGUCUUCAUCAGGCUCAAGAUUAUGGUGGACUACUUUUGUUAGCUACAUCUUCUGGUAAUAGUGAAAUGGUAAAAAAAUUAGCUGAAAGUACUAACUCAAACGGCAAAAAUAAUAUAUCAUUUCUGUCUUAUUUACUUUUGGGCGAUUUAGACAAAUGUUUACAAUUAUUAAUAGAAACUGAUAGAUUGCCAGAAGCAGCAUUUUUUGCUCGGUCAUAUUUACCAAGCAAAAUGUCAUAUAUUGUUGGAUUGUGGAAAGAUUCAUUAAGCAAAACUAAUGUGAAAGCUAGUGAAUCAUUAGCAAAUCCAGAUGAAUAUGAAAACUUAUUCCCGCACUACCAGGAAUCAUUAAAAACAGAAGUGUUUUUACAAGCUGAAAGGAAAAGGCAAUUACCAGCUGCUGCGUAUGCUAAUACUCCAUUGAAUCAUGAAAGAAAUUGUUUAGAAGAAAUGAAAGCAGCUGAAACUCAAGAACCAAGUUUUAAUUUAAAUGAACAAAUUGCUAAUAUUAAAGCUGAAGUCUUACAAUCCAGCUAUGUAGAUAAGAAACAAGAGGACAACAUUUUACCGCCACCAUUAAUUCCUAUGAAAAUAGUAGAUGAUUUUGAAGAUGUGGAUAAAGAAUUAGAAGAAGAGCUAGAAAAUAUGAACUUGGAUGAUAUAGAAUCAACGGGCAUUAAUAUUGAUGCGGAAUUAUCUGAUGAUGACGAUGAUGAUGACGAUUAUUCUUGAAUAAAUAAAUGUAUAGUAUAAUAUAUUUGUAAUAUUCUUUGGUAAUAUAUUUGGUGAAUGCAUUUAAUUUCUUGUACAGUAUUAAGUCUCAAAAUUGUUGACACCAAGAGUAUUUGCACAAUGAUAAAAUGUUAUAUUACUCUAACAUAAUGUAAUAUAAAUAAGUAUAUACAAUUUUAUAUUAUAUUAUUAUACUGUUACAUACUUACUAUACUUGUGUGUUUAUAGUGUGAAAAUAUAUUUCAAUAUUUGUUUUUAUUUUA
rnacentral:misc_RNA from 1 species